rnacentral:rRNA from 1 species
GUCUAUGGCCAUGCCAUCCUGAACACGCCGGAUCUCGUCUGAUCUUGGAAGCUAAGCAGGGUUAGGCCUGAUUAGUACUUGGAUGGGAAACCACCUAGGAAUACCGGGUGCUGGAGCUC